UAUAAAUGUUGCCACUAGAAGUCGGGAGAAUAAAACUCCUUAAUACCGAUGUAAGAUUAAGGAGCAGGCAUUAUUUAUUAUGGCACCAGAUGCGCAGGG